GACGAACGCUGGCGGCGUGCCUAAUACAUGCAAGUAGAACGCUGAAGCUUGGUGCUUGCACCGAGCGGAUGAGUUGCGAACGGGUGAGUAACGCGUAGGUAACCUGCCUGGUAGCGGGGGAUAACUAUUGGAAACGAUAGCUAAUACCGCAUAAGAGUAGAUGUUGCAUGACAUUUGCUUAAAAGGUGCAAUUGCAUCACUACCAGAUGAACCUGCGUUGUAUUAGCUAGUUGGUGAGGUAACGGCUCACCAAGGCAACGAUACAUAGCCGACCUGAGAGGGUGAUCGGCCACACUGGGACUGAGACACGGCCCAGACUCCUACGGGAGGCAGCAGUAGGGAAUCUUCGGCAAUGAACGGAAGUCUGACCGAGCAACGCCGCGUGAGUGAAGAAGGUUUUCGGAUCGUAAAGCUCUGUUGUAAGAGAAGAACGAGUGUGAGAGUGGAAAGUUCACACUGUGACGGUAUCUUACCAGAAAGGGACGGCUAACUACGUG
rnacentral:rRNA from 1 species